UAAAUAAUUAUAGCGCCUGUGCAAAAUGACUAAGUGAUCAUCGACGAUUAAAAGUUAAUUAGGAGAACUUUUAUAGAGGAUGAUUUAGCUUUUGUAGACGAGGAGGAUAGUGAUCGAAUAGAUCGGCGGAUGCUAUCCCGGAUGUGGCUCAUUCGUUAGCUUAUUAAGUAAAACACCAGGGUAACUUGGUGGACAAAGUUAAUAAGAUCGCCAAAU
rnacentral:ncRNA from 1 species